rnacentral:miRNA from 1 species
UCCUGUGCUCUUUCUCCUGCAGA